AAGGAAUGUCUCACAAAAAAUGACAAAGUUUUUGCCUCAAGACCUAAUGUAGCAGCAGGGAGAUACUUAGGUUACAACAAUGCUAUUUUAGCUCUUGCUCCUUAUGGAGAUUAUUGGCGAUACAUGAGAAAAAUUUCAACUCUUGAGCUUUUAUCAAGUCAUAGGCUUGAAAAGCUAAAGCAUGUUAGAGAUUUUGAGAUAUAUUCUCUAGUAAAAAAUUUGUACACAUUUGUGAAAAAAACAAAUGGUUCAAUUGAAGUACCUAUUAGCAAGUUUUUAGAUCAUAUGACAUUUAAUAUAAUUGUGAAGAUGAUAGCUGGUAAAAGAUUUAGUGGUGAAACAAUAAAUCAAGAAGAUAGUGAGGCAUGGAGAUUAAGAAAUGCAAUUAAAGAUACUACAUAUCUAUGUGGUGUUUUUGUUAUGGCUGAUGCUAUUCCUAGCCUAAGUUGGAUUGAUUUUCAAGGCCAUGUUGGUUUCAUGAAGAGGACUGCUAAGGAAAUGGAUUUCAUUCUUGAUAAGUGGUUGAGUGAACAUUAUAAAAAGAGAGAUGAAGUACAAAGUGGUAAGGAGGAUGAUUUCAUGGAUGUAUUGAUAUCAAUGUUUGAAGAAGAUGAUGAAAUUUGUGGCCACAAACGGGAGACAGUUAUCAAAGCAACAACCUUGGUACGUUUUUCUUCAUGCUUAUAUUAAGUACUAAAAUUUGAAAGUAAUAUGUCCAUCAAUUAUCUUUUUUUGGUGGUGUCCGGGAUUCGAAUAUCAUAUCUUACAUAUAUUAUGUAUUGUCCAUCAAUUAUCUAUCAAUAAUAAAUCAUUUCAAGAGUGAAAACAAUUUCACAAGCAAUUUAUAGUAUUUUUAAAAACCAUAACCUAAUCCAUAGAACUUUUUUUUCUUGACCGAACUAAUCCAAAGAAUUGAAAACCGUACAAAACUGAAUAUUAUUUUAUAUAUAUUUGGAUGUUUUUUUUUUUAAUAGAAACCGUUCAUAUCAUAUCUCAUAUUCCUUCUUAAAAUUUAAACCAAACUAGAAACAUAUAUCAUAAUACUUAUUUUCUUAUUAAUGUGAUAUAUUGCAAUAUGAAUCUAUUACUUGAUGACUUUUUAUUUAUUUAAUAAUACUCAUAGUCUAAUUUAAUCUAUUUUUUUUCUUCUAUUUCACAUAUUUCAAACAUAAUCGAUCAUUGUCAUUCAUUAAUGUUAAUUUUCAGUAUAUUAUAUGUUACAUUUUACACCAAAUAUAGUACUUUACCAUGUUUUUAUAAUAUUCAUAAAAAAUUUACAAUUUUAAUUUAGGUAUCCAAAAAUCGACUCAAAUUAAACUGCAAUGAAUUAUCAAUUUUUUUUAAAGAAGUCGUCCAAAUUGAACCUCGUAUUAUUUUGUCUAUCGAUUGAAUGAUUUUUUGCUUCAAAAUCGAUCUAGACCGACCGCGAAUACCUUAUAUUGAAUUUUGAAGUGCAAGGUCUUGCUCAAGUAACUAACCUUGCAAAUAUUUUUCAUUUGUUAUUUAGGCCUAAAUGAAGUUUUAAUCUCCAUAUGUUAUUUGUUACACGGCUUUAGUCCUUCUAUUUCUAAAUACAAAAAUAUACUUAAUCAGUUUUGAAAGUUUCAAAUUUUUUCACCAUUAAAUAUCAUACUUAUUUUUACUAAUGUAUAUAUCAUGUUAAAUAAAUAUGAGUUGUACACACAGGUUGCAUUCGAGACUUCUAAAUGAUCUAUGUAUACCCAUGCUUUCAUAUACACCUUGAGAGAGAACAAAAAUAGAGAAAACGAUACAAUAGAAAGCGAGAUAUAGAGAAAAUUAGAUGUUACAUGAGUAUCAAGGAACUAUCUGUGAAAAAAACUUCACCUAUAUGAUAAAAUAGUCAAGACCAUAAUUUCCACAUCCAUAUAUAAAUUUGUUUGGCCUAAUAUAUAGAGCUGUCAAAACGGGCGGCCCGGCCCGUUUAGGCCUGGCCCGGCCGGGCCAAGGGAUUUUAAGGGCCGGGCUAAAAAGCCCGGUUUGAAUAUGGGCUGCAAAAAAUGAGCCCGAUCCCGGCCCUAUACAGGCUCCCGGGCUAACGGGCCGGCCCUGGCCCGUAUUUUUUUCUUCCCUUUUCCAUUCUUUUAAGUACGGAACAUACAUAAAUAUGCCGGGCCAGCCCGGGCCCGUAUCAGUCUCUCACACACACAGAUCACAAAAAAAAAAAAAGUUGUAUUUUUUGCGGGCUUCCGGGCAGCCCGAAGCCCGGACGGGCUAGCCCUAACGAGCCAAGGGCUUUUACGGGCCGAGCUAAAAAGCCCUCUUCAAUUUCGGGCUCCAAUUAUUCGGCCCAAGCCCUACAUUUUAUUCGGGCUUUUGGACCGGCCCUUACGGCCCGGCCUAUUUUGACAGCUCUACUAAUAUAAGACUUUGAUUAAAUAUGUCUGUUCUAAAAACUUCACCUAUAUGAUAUAAUUUUUUUUUCUUUUCUGACAAUUAUUUUGCUUGCAGAUUCUUAUCCUUACAGCCUCAGGAAGUACAUCAAUAACAUUAGGAUGGGCUCUUUCCCUACUUAUAAAUCAUCCAAAGGUCUUAAAACAAGCAAAAGAAGAGUUGGACACAAACAUAGGAAAAGACAAAUGGGUCCAAGAAUCUGACAUCAAAAACCUUAAAUAUCUUCAAGCCAUUAUCAAAGAGACACUUCGUUUAUACCCACCAGCACCCUUAACAGGAAUAAGAGAAGCCACUGAUGAUUGCCACGUGGCAGGCUACAAAGUCACCAAAGGCACUCGUUUGUUUAUUAACCUAUGGAAAUUGCAAAGGGACCCACUAGUAUGGUCCAACCCUAAUAAAUUUCAACCUGAGAGGUUUUUCAAUAUUCAUGAUCAAAUUGAUAAUUUUCAGAAUCAAGAAUUUGGAUAUUUGCCAUUUAGUUAUGGAAGAAGGUCAUGUGCUGGUGCAACGUUUGGAAUGCAAGUCUUGCAUUUGACUUUGGCUAGGUUGAUUCAAGGGUUUGAUAUAAACACAAAAGAUGGUGGUCCAGUUGAUAUGAUUGAAGGAGUAGGAUUGGCAUUGCCUAAGGAAAAUCCACUUGAUGUUAUGCUCCAACCACGUCUCCCAUUGGAACUUUAUGAAAGCCUUUGAUAUUUGUAUCAAGUGUCAAAAGAAAAUAUAAAAUAUAGUUUUUUUUUUCUUUUCUGAUAAAAUAUAUUGUUUGAAUAAUAUGAUAUGAGAUGGGAGCUCAUGAAUAAUCAUAUCUCUAGAAAUAUACAAUAAUGUAAUGUACUUUUUAUUUUGGAAAUGUCUCAAGAUCCACAUGAAUGCUAGAAAUUAUAUAAUACACUAUGUAAGCAUCUUUGGUGUUUAACAAGUGUUGACACAAAGACAGGAAAUCGACAAAUCUAGAUACAUUACAUCACAUAUCUCUUUUAUAAAUUAGUAUAGCUAUUUAUGAGUCAGUGUCGUGCAUGUAUUUGGGGGUGUGAGAAUAAGUCAAGCUACACGAUAGGUAUCUAUAACUUAUUAUCGUCUGAUUCGGUUUUGCCCGUUUAAUAAAAAAAUUAGGUUCAAACACUUUAAAAAAUUUAUUAUUUAAAUAGUUCAGAUUUAAGAUAUUUAAAAAGCCAAUUAGGUAUACAGAAGGAACUACGCGACAACAAUGUUUGCAAUGUUUUGAAGAUUUUUUUUCCCCUAAACACAUUUGGAUUAUAGAAUACCAAAAGGAAACAAUAUUGCAUUAGCACACAACACAUGUAUUCAAAAUCAUGUACAAAUAUAUUUUACAAAUCAACUGAAUAUAUAUAAAUAGGGCUAAUGAACCCAUAAACUCUCAGUAUCAUAGUUUUAAAAUUCGGCUCGGUCAUCGACUCGGCGGGGAUACUGGAUCAAUGGAUCAAUGGUCGAACCACUGAGUCAUUGGUCGAACCGCAUGACUAAAUCGGAACCACUCGGAUGACUCGGUUAGAUAACUCGGUUCUUAGAUUAAAUUUAUAUAGUUAUUUAACCGGAUUAACUCGGAUUGAAUCGGUGACUCGGUCACUUUAGAAACUAAAAUAAUUAAUGAGUGUUGUAAUUUAAAAAAUGUUUACAUUUAAGGACAAAAAUAAAAUCAAAUGGAUGUUUAAAUAUAUGGACGAAGAUAGUAAUACAUAUUCAAAUAAAUAUAGUAAAAUAAAACUAUUCUUUCAAAAAAAAAAAUAUUGUAAAAAAAAUGUUUAUUAAAAUAUUUGAGAUGUCGGACAAUAAUAUUUAAAUGAUAAGAGUGUGCUUGGUUCCUUAAAAUAAAAAAGAGUGUUUGGUUUCCUUUAAAAAAAACUGUUCAGUUAUUAUAUAUAAUUGAUAAGAAGAUCUACACAGCUCAGUGGGUAAAGGGAAUGCAUUGCAAUCUAAGAGACGCGGGUUCAACUCCCUGCACUGCCAUUUUUUGGAAAAUUAAUAUGAUUUAAUUUAUGUUUCACGUUGCCGGUUCACCGUUUUUUCACGAGUUUGGUCGGUUCCGGCUGGUUUGAUUGCAUGACCGAUCCGUUUAUCAACUCGAACCGGUCAUCCCACCGGUUCACGGUCGGACCGGUUCAACCGGCCGGUCCGGUCCAGUUUUCAAAACUAUGCUCAGUAUGUAAAAGAAAAGUUAUGCUUAGUACACAAUAUUUUUUGGCAACUCUUUUGUCUUUACUUCAACAAAUAUUCUGGGAAUCAAACAGAUAAAUGCUUAUCCAAUGCAAGAAAUAAUAUAAAGAAAUAAAGGUCCAAGUGGUAGUUGGUAUUUAUACUAAAAAAGUAGUUCAAGCAUGGUUAAUUUUCCUUGCUUAGUGAAAUACGUGGUAGGGUAAAUAUUAGAACAUAUAUGGCCAUUUUUCUCCGCUCAUUUACUCUCAUUGGUUUCAAGUCACAUCCAAGAAAAAGUAUAUGGCUAAAAUAGUGUCAUACUCAUAUAUAGUAGUUGUUUUUCUAUCCUUGUCCUUUUCGUUAAUCAACUAUCUUCCACACCAAUUUAAUUUUUGAUGCAUUAAUUCUUGAAACCACUAAAAGAAAACAAUGAUAGUUAUCUUCUCAAAAAUCAUGUAACACAUCUUUACUCCCACAAAAAUGGAUAAUUUCUAUACACAACCAGCAACUAUAGUACUAGCUAUACUUUUAGUGCUUCUAUACAACAUAUGGAGGGUAAAAAAACCUAGUAACAAAUUCAAGGGUAUGAAACCACCAGAACCAUCAUAUGCCUUACCUUUAAUAGGUCACCUCCAUCUACUAGGAAACCAAAUCCCUCUUGCAAGAAUCUUUGCUUCAUUUUCAGACAAAUAUGGUCCUAUCUUCCAAAUCCAUUUUGGAGCAUACCCUGCACUUAUUAUUUCCAACAAAGAAGCAAUCAAAGAAUGUUUCACUACAAAUGACAAAAUCUUAGCCUCAAGACCAAAGUCAAGUCAUGGAAUUCACCUAGGUUAUAACUAUGCUGGCUUUGGUUUUGCACCUUAUGGCCCAUAUUGGACCAAGCUAAGAAAAUUAACCAUGCUUGAACUACUUUCGUCUCGUCGCCUUGAAUCGUUGAGACAUGUUUAUGAAUCGGAGAUCGAUACUUUGAUAA
rnacentral:lncRNA from 1 species